rnacentral:rRNA from 1 species
UACGAGGGGGGGCAAGCGUUGUUCGGAAUUAUUGGGCGUAAAGGGUGCGUAGGCGGUUUGACAAGUCUGAUGUGAAAUCUAUGGGCUCAAACCCCAUAGUCCUGCAUUAGAAACUGUCGGGGCUUGAGUAUGGGAGAGGUGAGUGGAAUUUCCGGUGUAGCGGUGAAAUGCGUAGAUAUCGGAAGGAACACCUGUGGCGAAAGCGGCUCACUGGACCAUUACUGACGCUGAUGCACGAAAGCUAGGGGAGCAAACAGG